GUGGCUCUGACAGGCACUGCAGAGCAACCAUGUGGCCACUGGGCACUUCUUGUCCACUGUUAGACCUGCGGCCACCCACCCUCAGGCACAGCCCUGCCCGGCAAGGCCAGACCUGGCAUCCGGCUCGCCCACUUCCCAAAUAACACCAGCAUCAAGAGUUCCGAAAAGGCCGAGCGCAGUGACUCACGCCUGUAAUCCCAGCGCU
rnacentral:lncRNA from 1 species